AGCAGCCGCGGUAAUUCCAGCUCCAAUAGCGUAUAUUAAAGUUGUUGCAGUUAAAAAGCUCGUAGUUGAAUUUCGGGAUUAGUAGUCUGGUCGUGCCACUGGUAUGUACUGGUCUUACUGAUUUCUCCUUCUUGAAGAACCGUAAUGUCAUUAAUUUGGUGUUGCGGGGAAUCUGGACUGUUACUUUGAAAAAUUAGAGUGUUUAAAGCAGGCUAACGCUUGAAUACAUUAGCAUGGAAUAAUGAAAUAGGACGUUCGAUCCUAUUUUGUUGGUUUCUAGGAUUGACGUAAUGAUUAAUAGGGAUAGUUGGGGGCAUUAGUAUUCAAUUGUCAGAGGUGAAAUUCUUGGAUUUAUUGAAGACUAACUACUGCGAAAGCAUUUGCCAAGGAUGUUUUCAUUAAUCAAGAACGAAAGUUAGGGGAUCGAAGACGAUCAGAUACCGUCGUAGUCUUAACCAUAAACUAUGCCGACUAGGGAUUGGAUGAUGUUAAUUUUGUAAUGACUCAUUCGGCGUCCG
rnacentral:rRNA from 1 species